CAGGCUGCCUCCGCACUCGCGGGGCGCGCGCGCCGUCCCUGUCACACGCCGCGGUCGCGCUCGCGCUCGCGGGGCGCGCGCGUGGUGCCUGUCACAGGCCGCGUCCGCCCUCGCGGCGCGCGCGCGUGGUGCCUGUCACAGGCCGCGUCCACACGCGCGGGGCGCGCGCGCCGUCCCUGUCACAGGCUGCGUCCGCACAUCAAACGCGACAGCGCUGUAGCUGCGGUGCUUCCAUGUAGACCCUGGAUACAGCAGAGGGUGGGGUUCUCCCCUGGCUGUAGGUAAUCCACCUUCCUGCUGCCCGGGCAGCGCUACAAAAUUAGGUGGGUGGAAGCCACCUUGCAUUGAUUUAGCGAUGCACGUGUCCACACUUCAAUUGGUUGCCUAUCACUGUAAGUGCCCUGUUAUGCCGACAUACACACCUUAGCAGCAGCUCUCUGGCAUGAGCAGCUGCCCAUGUGGGCUACAUGCUCCUGAUGUGCUCUGGCCUGGAGUACACAGGCGAUAUUGGAUCGCCUGGGCCUGUGGGGAGACAAGGCUGGGUAGACGCAGCUUCCGACCAUCCGUAGAAAAGUCAACAUUUCCAAGCAAAGGGCCUUAGAGACCAGGAACUGGCUCGUCAUUCCUGAGGAAUUUCUGUCUCAGCUCUCCUGGUUUCAUUGCUCCAGGCCUUUUUCUGUCAUCAGCUCUUUUGCCUCCACAAGAGAGUGUUCUUUUCACAUAUUUUACCCAGCUCCCAAGACACUGAUUGAUCCAGACUCCCUAACACUUUCUUCCCCACUGGGGCACUGCUACUCUCACUACACUUUCUUAAAUAAUUUCCUGUGCUCUUCAACUGACCCAUAAUCCACUGCCCCAACUGAUCAAUAACCAACUGUCACCCUCAACUGCACUAUCACCAACUGCCCACUCCCAACUGUCACCCCUGCUACACAGCAGCUGCUUACCCAGCCUCAAAUGCCCACCCUUAAGCUCCUGAGUCCCAACUGUCAUUCCCAACUGCUUGAUCCCAAUUGUCACAUCUAGCUGCCACAGAAAUAGCUGGAAUCUCAUAUUCUGCACCUUCUCCUGUUCAUUACAUACAGCCCAAAGUUCACUGCUCCAAAUAGCUUAUAGAAAGGAUGAGAAGAUCUUGUGUGAAGGCACAAGAGUGCAAUUCAUGGGAGCUUUUCCCACUCUUUCUCCUGAUCUGCUGCAUGGACCAUGGACCACCAGUUUUCUGUGGCUUAGUUUCCACAUCUAAAAUGGUGAUGAUAAUAAAUACCUACCUCACAAGAA